GGCCAGUUGGUCUAACGGUAUGACGUCCGCACCACAUGAUGUACGAUAGAUGUCUGGAUACGUGUGCAGAUACGUGUUUCGGGUAUGUAUUGGUACGUGUGGGGGACGCGGAAGACGGGGGUUCAAUCCCUCCACAGGCCA